GACGAACGCUGGCGGCGUGCUUAACACAUGCAAGUCGAACGGAAAGGCCCCUUCGGGGGUACUCGAGUGGCGAACGGGUGAGUAACACGUGAGUAACCUGCCCUUGACUUCGGGAUAACUUCAGGAAACUGGGGCUAAUACCGGAUAGGAAUCCUUGCUGCAUGGUGGGGGUUGGAAAGCUUCGGCGGUUUUGGAUGGACUCGCGGCUUAUCAGCUUGUUGGUGGGGUAGUGGCUUACCAAGGCUUUGACGGGUAGCCGGCCUGAGAGGGCGACCGGCCACAUUGGGACUGAGAUACGGCCCAGACUCCUACGCGAGGCAGCAGUGGGGAAUAUUGCACAAUGGGCGGAAGCCUGAUGCAGCAACGCCGCGUGCGGGAUGACGGCCUUCGGGUUGUAAACCGCUUUCAGCAGGGGCGAAGCUUGUGGUGACGGUACCUGCAGAAGAAGCACCGGCUAACUACGUG
rnacentral:rRNA from 1 species